AAUGUAGUAGAGCUGCUGGGAGGGGAGUUCGGUUAAUAAGAUUAGCUCUCCACCCCCCAAAACAGUUAACCUUUCCAUUAUAAUUUAACCUUGAAGAAGCUGCAGAGUGGUAUUGAGAGAGAGAGUGUGAGCUUCAGCAAGGAUUAGGAAGAGAGUUUGGAGCAAUUAUUGACAGUAACACCCCUUUGGUUAAUCAAUCAUAGCAAUUAGAAGCCUUCAUAGUUUAAGCAAGGUAAGAAUUGUAGCUCUUCUUUAUUUCUUAAAUGUUCAUAUUUUCUUUUAUUUAUCAGAGUAUGUUGUGACUGGGGUUGUUGUUGCUUGUACUAUAUUUGGGGACCAUGAAGGGUCCAGGAGU
rnacentral:lncRNA from 1 species